GAAGUACUCCCUCUGUCUGGAAAUACUUAUCAGAGAAAUGGAUAAAAAUGGAUGUAUCUACACUAAAAUACGUUUAGAUACAUCCAUUUCUUUAUAAGUAUUUACAGACGGAAGGAGUACAUA
rfam:Triticum aestivum genome assembly, contig: Triticum_aestivum_CS42_TGACv1_scaffold_433154_5DL